UGGUGGGAUCCAUGCCUGGUUCAUUUUAAUAAACCUGAGCCGUAGACAGGCGACUGCGCUUGUCUGUGAUAACCUUGUGCCGAUCGCACGUCCCCGUGACGGCGACAACGCAUUCAGAUGUCUGCCCUAUCAACUUUCGUUUCUAUUUUCCACGCCUAUUAUUGUGACCACUGGUAACGGGGAAUCAGUGUUCGAUUCCAGAGAGGGAGCUUGAGAAACUGCUACCACAUGCAAGGAAGGCAGCAGGCGCGCAAAUUAGCCACUCCCGACGCGGGGAGGUAGUGA